rnacentral:rRNA from 1 species
UACGGAGGGUGCAAGCGUUAUCCGGAUUCACUGGGUUUAAAGGGUGCGUAGGUGGGCAGGUAAGUCAGUGGUGAAAUCUCCGAGCUUAACUCGGAAACUGCCAUUGAUACUAACUGUCUUGAAUACCGUGGAGGUCAGCGGAAUAUGUCAUGUAGCGGUGAAAUGCUUAGAUAUGACAUAGAACACCAAUUGCGAAGGCAGCUGGCUACACGAAUAUUGACACUGAUGCACGAAAGCGUGGGGAUCAAACAGG